GGCCGGUUAGCUCAGUUGGUUAGAGCGUGGUGCUAAAAACGCCAGGUCCCGUGUUCAACCCCCGUACUGGCCA
rnacentral:tRNA from 1 species